GCGAUCUACUUUCCCUAGAUUCUGUUUUCUAUGUCACAAUUUGCUAUCGAUUCUCAUUCUUGGGUUCAAAGUUAACCUAAUUUCUGUAAUUUUCAUACUUUAAGGCCUCUAUCAGUUGGAGUGAAUUAAAAAUCAAAUUUGGUGACAUGAGGUGAUACUUCAAUGUUAAGUUUAUUGAGACAGGAAAGCUGCACUGAAUUUGUCUAAUGUCCUGAAUUCAUGAUUAUGGAUCUGGAAAAACAUCAGAGGUUAAUCCAAACAAACUGGUUAAUCCGAGUUGCCACAUAUUCCAAGAGGAUUCAUGGUGAUGACUGGAGAUAUCUGGGCAGUGGACUCCUUCGCGCCCCCCUCAGUGUCGACUACCGCUACUUCCGCCGUUGGCAGUGUGUCUGCUACAUCACUUUGCGCAGACAAAGAGAGACUCAAUUUAAAAGGAUAAUGUGUCAAAAAUUUAAGAAAGUGAAAGUUUGGCUAACAAGGCCUUUAUAGUGGUCCACAAAAUAGAAUUUACAAAAAUAGCUUUGUGCUGUGUGUUUCCAGCUAAGGACUCUGCCAAGUAUUUAUUAAUUUAAAUUUUAUGAUUUAUCAUUAUUGUCCAUGUGUUAAAUUGUCAAUUUCUGACUAGCUUAUUGAUUGUAGCUCAUAAUAUUCUCCAACU